ensembl:lncRNA
AAAAAGAGUAAUUCCCUUAAGCAAUAUCUGCUCUUCCACAUCUCCAUUGCACUGGCUGCUGCCAAAAAAAAUCAGUGAGGUAGGAGUGGGAAUCAAAGGUGGCAAAUUGUAAAUGUCUUUUGUAAGAUGUUUAUUUUUAAUAAUCUUCAAAAAACACACAACAGCUUUCAUCAGAGUUUGAGGAACUAAUCACAGUGUUUGUAUGUUUACAUUUCAGUAUUUAGCAUCCGUGGAUUAUUCCAUUUAUGUGAAGUUCUUGGACGUAGUUCAAGAAAGGAAGGAAAUAUGCUAAAAAGAGAUGUGUGAAGUUGAAAAAAAAAUACCAACAAACAGAAGUAUGAGACUUAAUUCACAGACUGCCUGCCUCUUUGUAAUCAUUCCAACAGGUGCUAACUGGAAGUGUGUUACUCCUACUGCUCACACCAAUAACGCAGAGGAGUACCAGUGGUGGCUCCAGUGCCAUGUUUAUAAAGAAAGUAGCAAUAGGAAUAUAAAUAAAUCAACAGAAUACCUUCAAGCAAGGUGAUUUUUUUUUUUUUAAGCACUACUCAAUAUCAAAAUUGUAAAUAAAUAUUUCUUUCAUGUUUUCAGAUUAAAGAUCUUGGUAUAUAAGUAACUGUUAUUUUUCCCCUUGUGCUUUGCAGUUUUAAUUUCAGCAUGUAAACUUUAGUAAAGAAUGAAAUAACUAAUCAAAGCCAACAGUGGCCAAUGCUUCAUUGUCUUAUGCUCUUCAUAAAAUAGUUUGUCUUAAAUCUGAAGGCAGUGUGCUAUGUCUAUGUCUUUGAACCAGAUGGUAGAUGAGGGGAAGGUAGGACUGGAGAACUACUACUUUCAGAGGAAUAUAUGAUUUAACGUGCAUUUUGCUGUGGGAGUUGUCUCCAUUUUCAGUAGACUGAAGGAAGAAUCAGCAGCUUAAUCUCUUGGAGGUUUCUGCUGUUGUGGCCUGAGAAAGGGCAGUUUUUCCAACUUUCCCAGAGUUAUCGUGGGUUAUGAUGAGCCCAAGGAAACAGUGUGAAUGAGCCAGUCCAGACCAGAAUGUAGAGCGUUGGGCACCAUCCUUUUUACAGGCUUAAUUUCAAGUUGCCGACUCCUUUGUCCACAACUAUUAAGUGCACAAAAGCAGAGCUGAAGCAAUGUUCCUCUGUCCCUGAAGCUGCAUGUGAAAAUGAGUGGGGGUGAUUUGUCCAAGGCAAUACACAUAAAACCAGAGCCUAUCAUUGUAACAGAAUGCAGUUGUCUAUGGCCUGGCUCUCUGUAAUACAUAUUGCUGAACUCCUUCCACUCCUGCACAGCCACUUUCAUUUCAUUUCAAGGAGCGGUCAUGAACUAGACUUGCAAGGGAAUUUGCUUGGCUGUGUCUUAGGGCUACUGACAGUGUCCACUGGAGUCCUCAGGAAGGUAAAAAGAACAUAAUGGAAAGAAGAAAGAAGAAAAAGAGGGUUCCUGAUUCAGAAACAGAGAAGUCAGAUAUCUAAUAUUUCUAAAAGCAGUGAUAAAUACUAUACCAAUGAUACAGAUGGGUCCUUCUACAUGAUGAGACACUAAAUGCAUCAGUCUUUUUCAUGACUGUAAUCCAUGCUGGCAGCCUUGCACAUCAGCCCUCAGAUUGGAAAUUUCAACCUUGUCUUCACUCUAUUUUCCCUGGAAACAUUUAUGUUUUUUUUUUUUUUU